UACAGAGGGGGCAAGCGUUGUUCGGAAUUACUGGGCGUAAAGGGCGCGUAGGCGGCCUUCUAAGUCGAACGUGAAAUCCCCGGGCUCAACCCGGGAACUGCGUCCGAUACUGGAAGGCUUGAAUCCGGGAGAGGGAUGCGGAAUUCCAGGUGUAGCGGUGAAAUGCGCAGAUAUCGGGAGGAACACCCGUGGCGAAGGCGGGUCCCUGGGACGGUACUGACGCUGAGACGCGAAAGCGUGGGGAGCGAACAGG
rnacentral:rRNA from 1 species